UACGAAGGGGGCUAGCGUUGCUCGGAUUGACUGGGCGUAAAGGGCGCGUAGGCGGUUCGUACAGUCAGACGUGAAAUUCCUGGGCUCAACCUGGGGGCUGCGUUUGAUACGUGCGGACUUGAGUGCGGAAGAGGGGGGUGGAAUUCCCGGUGUGAGCGGUGAAAUGCGUAGAUAUCGGGAGGAACACCUGUGGCGAAGGCGGCCCCCUGGUUGGAUACUGACGCUGAUACGCGAAAGCGUGGGGAGCAAACAGG
rnacentral:rRNA from 1 species